UAGUCUGCAAUUGUGAAGAGACAUGAGAGGUGUAGGAUAAGUGGUAAGCCCAUGUUGCGUCGCGAGCUAAGGGGUGCCGCCGGUGAAAUACCACUACUUAUAGUUUUUUCACUAACCCGGUGAGGCAGGGUGGGAGAGCCACAAGAGGCUCUCGCUUCUGGCUCCAAGCACCCGGCGUGUGCAGGGGUCUCUGGCUGGUUCU